rnacentral:misc_RNA from 1 species
UCCCCGUUACCGGGGCAGUCUAGCUAGAGAAAUUCAACUAACUAAAAGGGUUGCGCUCGUUGAUGGACUUAACCAAACAUCUCACGACACGAGCUGACGACGGCCAUGCAUCACCUGUCACUUGGCUCAAUAAAGCACUCUCUGCUUUCGCAGAAAUUCCAAGGAUGUCAAGCCUGGGUAAGGUUCUUCGCUUACUAUCGAAUUAAACAACACGCUCCACCGCUUGUGCGGGUCCCCGUCAAUUCCUUUAUGUUUUAGUCUUGCGACCGUACUCCACAGGCGGGAUGCUUAACGCGUUAGCUUCGCUACUACCAGGGUCGAUACUGGUAACAGCUAGCAUCCAUAGUUUAGGGCGUGGACUAC